GUGAAGGGCUUCUCCCACCAAUUUAAUAAUUGUAUCAUUUCCUGUUUCUCUUCCAUCAGGUUGUUCUUUCUUUCCCCAUCAGCGGCACGGAAAUCACUGCCGCAUUUCAACUUUAUUCACCAACAGCCAACACACUUUUUUGGGGAUUUGAAAAGCAGAGAACAGUAAAUAUUAAACAUGUUACGCUCGUUUAGUGGUGUACUUGGAGUUUUACGCCGGACUUACGGAGGAUACCGCAAUGGUGCAUCGUCGACGAGCAAUAAUCGCAUGGGCGGCGGAAGUGGAGGAGGACAAAGAAAUGGAUACGGAACUGGAGGAGGAGGAGGAGGUUCUCGAUUCGGAGGCCGCGGAGGUGGCGGCAACAGCUACGGCGGAAAUGCAGGACGCAAUCUGAACAAUCCAAAACUCUCUGGAGGCAGUUUGAGAAAACCCAAUUGGGACUAUGAAAAUCUAAAGCCAUUCAAGAAGGAUUUCUACGUUCCUCACGACAACGUUCAAUCGCGUCAUCUUCGUGAAAUUGAGCAAUUCCGAGACGAGAACAAAAUCACAUUGAAGGGGAGCCGAGUGCCCAACCCCAUAAAGUACUUCGAAGAGGGCAAUUUUCCGGAUUACGUGAUGCAGGAAAUCAGAAAGCAAGGCUUCAACGAACCCACUCCAGUGCAAGCUCAGGGCUGGCCCAUCGCUAUGUCUGGUCAAAACAUGGUCGGAAUUGCACAAACCGGCUCGGGAAAAACCCUCGGCUACAUUCUGCCGGCGAUCGUCCACAUCAACAGCCAACAACCAUUGAAUCGUGGAGACGGUCCCAUUGCGUUGGUGCUCGCACCCACUCGGGAGCUUGCGCAACAAAUUCAAUCUGUCGCAAACGACUUUGGCUCUCUGUCGUAUGUGAGGAACACUUGCAUCUUUGGCGGAGCGCCGAAGGGACCACAGGCGCGUGACCUCGAGCGCGGUGUGGAAAUUUGCAUCGCCACGCCAGGACGUUUAAUUGACUUUUUAGAACGCGGCACGACAAAUCUUCGAAGAUGCACGUAUCUCGUUCUUGACGAGGCCGAUCGCAUGUUGGACAUGGGAUUCGAGCCACAAAUCCGAAAAAUCAUUGAACAAAUCAGACCCGACAGGCAGGUCCUUAUGUGGUCUGCCACCUGGCCGAAGGAGGUGCGCAACCUCGCCGAGGAGUAUCUUACCGACUAUAUUCAACUCAACAUCGGCUCACUCACUUUGGCUGCCAAUCAUAAUAUCCUUCAAAUUGUUGAUGUUUGCCAAGAACAUGAGAAGGAAACAAAAUUAGGAACAUUACUUCAAGAAAUUGGAAACGCCAAUGACGAUGGAGGCAAAACUAUUAUUUUUGUUGAAACUAAGAAGAAAGUUGAGAACAUCACAAGAAACAUUCGUCGUUAUGGGUGGCCCGCUGUUUGUAUGCACGGCGAUAAAUCACAACAGGAACGUGAUUAUGUUCUCAAAGAAUUUAGAAAUAAAAGAGGUGGAAUUCUUGUAGCAACUGACGUUGCUGCUCGUGGUUUAGAGGCACAUGGUGCACAGUAUGCGUUGAGUGUGCGAUGAGCGAAAUUCAUCCCCAUGGCUCACUCAGUGUCUGUGUUCCUUUGAAAGCUAUAUAUGCAAGUGAUAUAUAGAAGUUAUACACGAGCCUGUAGCAGGCGUGUUAAAUGUGUACUCAAUGUGCCUCUGUGUACUUUUUGCCUGUGUACCACACGAAGUAAAAAAUAAAAAUGGUGGUGCCCGGGUAUUUUGCUCGCGCUGGUUGGCUGGCUGACUGAUUUUUGCAUAACAAUACAACCAUCACACCGACAUUCAGCCCGUGCGAGACAACAAUCUAUUGAUUUUGCUACUAUCGCUACUUGAUGGGAAUAAUAGGAGUCAAGACAUUGCGUACACUGAACUUGCAUUCAAGAAUGGCACAUCCCCGUUCGCGAUGGCGGAAUGCUAAGUUCAAUGGAGCAAAAACUGGGUUUGUAUAAACUAUGGUGCAGCUAACAAAUACAUUCAUACACGCUUGAGCCUUGUCGAAAAUAAGCAUUGCAGUUUUAACCAAAAUCUAGUGGAAUAUCAUCUUGGACUGUCCCACUGAUCAGACGUUGAUGACGUUAAGUACGUAAUAAACUUCGAUUAUCCACAAUCGUCAGAAGACUAUAUCCAUAGGAUUGGAAGGACAGGACGUAGUCAAAGCACAGGCACAAGUUAUGCCUUUUUCACUCCACAAAAUUGUAAACAGGCAAAGGAUCUCAUAAGUGUGCUUAAAGAAGCCAACCAGAUUAUCAACCCAAAGCUUAGCGAACUAGCGUCAAGAGGAGGUGGAGGAGG